rnacentral:rRNA from 1 species
AAUUUUGGACAAUGGGGGAAACCCUGAUCCAGCCAUCCCGCGUGUAUUAUUAAGGCCUUCGGGUUGUAAAUUACUUGUGGCAGAGAAAAAAAGGUAUCCCCUAAUACGGGAUACUGCUGACUGUAUCUGCAGAAUAAGCACCUGCUAACUACGUGCCUUCAUCCGCGGUAAUACGUAGGGUGCAAGCGUUAAUCGGAAUUACUGGGCGUAAAGCGCGUGUAGGCGGUUCGGAAAGAAAGAUGUGAAAUCCCAGGGCUCAACCUUGGAACUGCAUUUUUAAGUGCCGAGCUAGAGUAUGUCAGAGGGGGGUAGAAUUCCACGUGUAGCAGUGAAAUGCGUAGAUAUGUGGAGGAAUACCGAUGGCGAAGGCAGCCCCCUGGGAUAAUACUGACGCUCAGACACGAAAGCGUGGGGAGCAAACAGG